CGCGAGAGCAAGCGGACCUCAUAAAGUGCGUCGUAGUCCGGAUUGGAGUCUGCAACUCGACUCCAUGAAGUCGGAAUCGCUAGUAAUCGUGGAUCAGAAUGCCACGGUGAAUACGUUCCCGGGCCUUGUACACACCGCCCGUCACACCAUGGGAGUGGGUUGCAAAAGAAGUAGGUAGCUUAACCUUCGGGAGGGCGCUUACCACUUUGUGAUUCAUGACUGGGGUGAAGUCGUAACAAGGUAACCGUAGGGGAACCUGCGGUUGGAUCACCUCCUUACCUUAAAGAA
rnacentral:rRNA from 1 species